AAAACACUAUGUCAACGCAUUUUGAAUCAAAAUGUUAUUUGCGGACAUUCAAGAGGAUAGUACAACAAUAAUUACUAUGCCUCAAUUUUAGUUGACCGCGCAUGUGUGUCCUUGCUUAUAUUGCCGAUCUCAAGCUCAAAUACAAUUGAGAUUUACGAUAGACUAGCAGUCAAUGUAAAAUUAGCAAAUUCGAGAUGGUAGUAAUUUUACAGCUCCUCUACCUUCACAAGUCACAAUGUAGGGGGCGAACACUAUCCUUCUUAGGCCCCACCCAUGGGACCACACUGUGUUUGUUGUUGGGUGAAAACCCAUAUUUUGUUUGAUUGUGGAAGAUAUCGGUACACAGUUUCUUUACACCUCUCAUUCAUGGAAAGGGAAGUUUUCAGUUUCAAUUAUGCAAACUUCAGUUAUAAGUAGGAAAGAAUGGAAUAAGAUCUUAUAUUCCAGUAAAGGGAGGUGUUCCCUGGAAAUAAAUUAAUCAAAGUGAUAAUUAAAACAUAAUAACUUUUGACAUUCAAUUGGCUACCAGGACCAACAAUUCUUAAUAUGUAAGUGAAGGAAAAUGUGUUACCUGACUUCUCAUAUACCCUUUCUGUAAGGGGAAAUCAUUAAGUUAAUAAUAACGAAUGCAGAUUAAAUUCAAUAUUAGUCAUAAUCAUAGUGUUGCUCAUAGUAAUAUCCUCCCAACAUCCUCAUCGUAACACAUAUGGUUCUUCGUAUGUCUCGUCUACUUCGGGGUCAAUUUUGCUCUUUUGAAUUGCCUGUAGAAAUAACAUGAUCAAGUUAAACAUGUUUAUGGAGAUGAGAGCAACAAAUGCUUUAGAUUUGUGUAAUUUGUUCUAUAGAUGAACGAAUACACAUCCUGCAACGUCAAAACUUCAGGGUGGUUGGCUACUUGAAUUUUCACCUUGUUGGUGAGGGUUCGAUCCCUUUCCUCGUUUCCCCUCCCCUUUAUAUAUAAGUAAAGUCAAAAUCUAAGCACUCUUAGGAAUUCUUAUCUAGUUAAAUUUAAGCACUCUAGGAAUUCUUAUCUAGUUGAGAUCCCUACCAGGAGUUCAGUCUUUUUAUAAUCCUCCAAUGUUAAUAAUAGGGAAAUCAAGGAGCUGAACUAAGAUCAAAUCCAAAGAUUAACCAUAGCUUAAACCUUAUUUCAGCAUCUGCUGAACGGCAUAGAACAAUUUAUAUCUCGGGAUAGAUUCUUAUACCUCAACCUAUAACAACUAUGCAUCAGUCUCAAAUAAGUUGAUAUCUGCGAUAUG
rnacentral:lncRNA from 1 species